rnacentral:rRNA from 1 species
UAUACAUGCAGUCGAGCGGACCAUUGGAGCUUGCUCCAUUUGGUUUACCGGCGGACGGGUGAGUAACACGUGGGCAACCUGCCCUGCAAAUCGGGAUAACUCCGGGAAACCGGUGCUAAUACCGAAUAGUUUGGCUCCCCUCCUGGGGAGCCACGGAAAGACGGUUUCGGCUGUCACUGCAGGAUGGGCCCGCGGCGCAUUACCUAGUUGGUGGGGUAAUGGCCUACCAAGGCAACAAUGCGUAGCCAACCUGAAAGGGUGAUCGGCCACACUGGGACUGAAACACGGCCCAAACUCCUACGGGAGGCAGCAGUAGGGAAUCUUCCGCAAUGGACAAAAGUCUGACGGAGCAACGCCGCGUGAGUGACAAAGGUUUUCGGAUCGUAAAACUCUGUUGUGAGGGAAAAACACGUACCAAUUAACUACUGGUACCUUGACGGUACCUCACCAAAAAGCCACGGCUAACUACGUGCCAGCAGCCGCGGUAAUACGUAGGUGGCAAGCGUUGUCCGGAAUUAUUGGGCGUAAAGCGCGCGCAGGCGGUCCUUUAAGUCUGAUGUGAAAGCCCACGGUUCAACCGUGAAGGGUCAUUGAAAACUGGAGGACUUGAGUGCAAAAAAGGAAAGUGGAAUUCCAUGUGUAGCGGUGAAAUGCGUAGAGAUGUGAAGGAAACCAGUGGCGAAGGCGACUUUCUGGUCUGUAACUGACGCUGAGGCGCGAAAGCGUGGGGAGCAAACAGGAUUAGAUACCCUGGUAGUCCACGCCGUAAACGAUGAGUGCUAAGGUGUUA